AUGCUCGCUUCAGCAGCACAUAUACUAAAACUGGAAUGAUACAGAGAAGAUUAGCAUGGCCCCUGCACAAGGAUGACACGCAAAUUUGUGAAGCAUUCCGUAUUUUU
ensembl:snRNA U6 U6 spliceosomal RNA